GGGACACGUGGUAUCCUGUCUGAAUAUGGGGGGACCAUCCUCCAAGGCUAAAUACUCCUGACUGACCGAUAGUGAACCAGUACCGUGAGGGAAAGGCGAAAAGAACCCCGGCGAGGGGAGUGAAAAAGAACCUGAAACCGUGUACGUACAAGCAGUGGGAGCCUCUUAAUGGGGUGACUGCGUACCUUUUGUAUAAUGGGUCAGCGACUUAUAUUCUGUAGCAAGGUUAACCGAAUAGGGGAGCCGAAGGGAAACCGAGUCUUAACUGGGCGUUAAGUUGCAGGGUAUAGACCCGAAACCCGGUGAUCUAGCCAUGGGCAGGUUGAAGGUUGGGUAACACUAACUGGAGGACCGAACCGACUAAUGUUGAAAAAUUAGCGGAUGACUUGUGGCUGGGGGUGAAAGGCCAAUCAAACCGGGAGAUAGCUGGUUCUCCCCGAAAGCUAUUUAGGUAGCGCCUCGUGAAUUCAUCUCCGGGGGUAGAGCACUGUUUCGGCAAGGGGGUCAUCCCGACUUACCAACCCGAUGCAAACUGCGAAUACCGGAGAAUGUUAUCACGGGAGACACACGGCGGGUGCUAACGUCCGUCGUGAAGAGGGAAACAACCCAGACCGCCAGCUAAGGUCCCAAAGUCAUGGUUAAGUGGGAAACGAUGUGGGAAGGCCCAGACAGCCAGGAUGUUGGCUUAGAAGCAGCCAUCAUUUAAAGAAAGCGUAAUAGCUCACUGGUCGAGUCGGCCUGCGCGGAAGAUGUAACGGGGCUAAACCAUGCACCGAAGCUGCGGCAGCGACGCUUAUGCGUUGUUGGGUAGGGGAGCGUUCUGUAAG
rnacentral:rRNA from 1 species